ensembl:snRNA U6 U6 spliceosomal RNA
GUGCUUGCUUCGGCAGCACAUGUACUGAAGUUGGAACGAUGCAGAGAGGAUUGGCAUGGCCCCAUACAAGGAUGACGUGCAAAUUCGUGAAACGUUCCAUUAAAAA